rnacentral:lncRNA from 1 species
UUAAUCUACCUGCGAAUUUACUUUAAACAACACUGAUCAUACCAUCUCCAUUGUUGAACCCUGAGAUUGCCUGGAAUGUAGAAGAUAGGGAGAGGUUGAGAGAUAAAGAUAAUGACAAUGAAUCCCUUUCGUGUUCACAAUUCGAAUAAUUAUCCGCUCUUGUUGAUAGAUUGAGUGUUGGAGAUAGAGGGACUGGUCCAGUGUUGAUUUGAUACUCGGUAUUGAAAGCUACGGUUUCAGUUUGAUUCUUGAUUGAGAGCGGGGGUGAUGGAAUUAGACCAACAGCCGAUGGUUGAUUACCGUUAUCUUCAUGAGUUUGUUCUUCCAUUGGAGUAGCAGCAACCUGACCAUCAAUCACAAAGUUGUUAGUUUUUGUCACCCAUAGGUAGUAUUAAAUAACUAACGUUUUUUAACAACAAUUCCUAGAUUUUUUCUAGGAUAAUCCUCGGGAUUUGAACGCCCAACCUUUUGUUGUGAAGGAGACCACUUACCACUAGAUUAACGUUGUUUAGUGCAUCAAUAGUGAUGUCACAAAUCGCCUGCAUAUGUUAGUUUUCCCCUUUGGUUGGGAAAGGGGAAAACUAACACAAGCAGACGAUUUGCUAGAUCUUCGACGACGGCGAUUAAGGUUGCUUCGACGGAGAAAAUACUUUUGAGCAUGACUUGCCACUUGUGUCGGGGUACGCGUCUUCACAAAAUUCCUUGAAAUUCCUCUCCAGUCCCCUUUACCUACCUUCUUCAGGCCUAAUAGAAAUAGCUUGUGUUCAUCCUCUGUCCAUGGAACCCCUGUUGUUUUUCAAUAAUAUAAAAAAAAUUAAUUAAUCUCAUAAA